UUCUCGUUGACUAUAACUUAUAAACUAUACACAAACACCUCUCUGUGUCUGCAAAUAAAACACAGAGAAUUAGAAACCAAAUACACACACACACAAAACACCACACAAAAACUUCAUCAUCUUCAUAUGACCAAAAACCCAACCCACAACACCUCCUACCUCACCCUCGACUUCUCUCUCCCCCUCUGUAAUUAAUCCGACAGCCGCAAGAAGAGGAGGAGGAGGCGCCGGUUACGGCUGUUCCUCCGGUCACCGGAGCGACGCCGGUCAUCUUCUCCGGCCGCACAAUCGUACCCACAGCUGACAACCCCCCCCCCUCCGUCAGUUGAAGAGACGACCACCGGGUGGUGGUCAGUGACGACUAGAUCGAGAAGCAGAUGAGAGAGAAAGAAGGGCGGCGGUAUUCCGAUGACAAUCGAAGAGAGAGAUCGGCGAGUGAUGGCGGCAGCCGAUGGCUAGUUCCGGCGACAGUGGUGGCGGGGCGGCGACUUUAAUUCCUUCCGAUAAGGUUCACCGUCUGCAGAGAAGAUGAUGAUGAUGUUGAAUAUGGUGGUGGUCGACGACGGCAUGACCACCGGAGUCACCAGAACUGGCGACGGCGGCAGAGGUGAUGGUUAUUCGGUUCAGGUUCGGUUUCAUUUCGAGUUCGGGUAAACAUGAUUCAGUUUAGGCUCGGUUCUGACCUAUUGAUUUCAGUUUUGGUUCGGUUCAACAUAUUUGAUUUCAAGUCAAAUGGGUCGGCUCAUUCUCAGGUUCGAGUUAUGAAGUCAAUAAGACAACAUGGAUUUGGUUCUGGUUCGGUCAGAUGGCUCGGUUCGGUUGACUCGGUCAACUCACCGAGUCAACCGAGUCAACUCAGUCAACAGAUGGGUUCGGGUUCGACUCAGUGCACUUCGCCUCGACUCAGUCCAACUCGGUUUCGACUCGGUGUAUUUUGGUUUGACUCGGUCAAACUGGUCGACUCGGCAAGUCGACUCGGUCAACUCUGCAUUUCGACAUGAGAAGAUGGUAAAUAUUUUACGGCGCAAUUCAUUUCGAUAUUCUUAUACUUUUAUUUAUUUUCGCGUGAAAAACGAGCUCGAACCAAUCGACUGGAACAUAGUUAAAUUUUGACAUAUUUGGCGAAGGUUAUAUAGCUUGAUUGAUUAUGUUGAAUUAA